rnacentral:rRNA from 1 species
UGCAGUCGAGCGCUUCACUUCGGUGAGGAGCGGCAGACGGGUGAGUAACGCGUGGGAACAUACCUAAUAGUACGGAAUAACGAUUGGAAACGAUCGCUAAUACCGUAUACGCCCUUCGGGGGAAAGAUUUAUCGCUAUUAGAUUGGCCCGCGUUGGAUUAGCUAGUUGGUGAGGUAACGGCUCACCAAGGCGACGAUCUAUAGCUGGUCUGAGAGGAUGAUCAGCCACACUGGGACUGAGACACGGCCCAGACUCCUACGGGAGGCAGCAGUGGGGAAUAUUGGACAAUGGGCGCAAGCCUGAUCCAGCCAUGCCGCGUGAGUGAUGAAGGCCUUAGGGUUGUAGAGCUCUUUCGCUAGGGAAGAUAAUGACGGUACCUAGUAAAGAAGCCCCGGCUAACUUCGUGCCAGCAGCCGCGGUAAUACGAAGGGGGCUAACGUUGUUCGGAUUUACUGGGCGUAAAGCGUACGUAGGCGGAUUAGUAAGUUAGGGGUGAAAUCCCGAGGCUCAACCUCGGAACUGCCUUUAAUACUGCUAAUCUAGAGAUCGGGAGAGGUGUAUGGAACUCCUAGUGUAGAGGUGGAAUUCGUAGAUAUUAGGAAGAACACCAGUGGCGAAGGCGAU